GGAGCUGUGGCUCAGUGGCAAAGUAUCUGCUUGGUAUGCAGAAGAUCACAGGAUCAAUCCCCAGCAUCUCCA
rnacentral:tRNA from 1 species